UUAACGAGCUAGGGGUGCCUGAGUCGUCAGGCUGAGAUUACACCCUUAGAACCUGAGACCGGUUAGUACCGGCGAAGGGAAGCUGUUUUUUGAGGAA
rnacentral:ncRNA from 2 species